GAGAAGGUAAGGGGACAGAGAGAAGAGAAGGUAAGGGGACAGAGAAGAGAGAAGGUAAGGGGACAGAGAGAAGAGAAGGUAAGGGGACAGAGAGAAGAGAAGGUAGGGGACAGAGAGAAGAGAAGGUAAGGGACAGAGAGAAGGUAGGGGACAGAGAUAAGGUAGGGGACAGAGCGAAGAGAAGGUAGGGGACAGAGAGAAGGAAGGGGGACAGAGAGAAGCGAAGAGAGAAGAGAAGGUAGGGGACAGAGAGAAGAGAAGGUAGGGGACAGAGGGAAGAGAAGAGAAGGUAAGGGGACAGAGAGAAGAGAAGGUAGAAGACAGAGAGAAGAGAAGGUAGACACCUAGCGGUACCAGGAGCAGGACAGAUAUUGGAGUAUGAGUGUGACUGCAAUGGAGACGGUCUGCAUUGAGGACAGGGCUGGAGACAGUCUGC
ensembl:lncRNA